rnacentral:rRNA from 1 species
CUGCUGCCUUCCGUAGGAGUUUGGGCCGUGUCUCAGUCCCAAUGUGGCCGUCCACCCUCUCAGGCCGGCUACUGAUCGCUGCCUUGGUGGGCCGUUACCCCGCCAACUAGCUAAUCAGACGCGGGUCCAUCGUAUACCACCGGAGUUUUUCACACUGCCCCAUGCGGAGCCGUGCGCUUAUGCGGUAUUAGCACCUAUUUCUAAGUGUUAUCCCCCGGUAUACGGCAGGUUAUCCACGCGUUACUCACCCGUCCGCCACUAA